UCUUGAGCCCGUAUAACUGUUUGGCUGGCCACACACCACUUUUAUUGGCCAUAAGGAAAAGAAGUGAGCAAAUUGUGGAAUUUUUACUGACAAAAAAUGCAAAUGCAAUUGCAGUUGAUAAGUUUAAAUGCAUUCAUCAACAACUUUUGGAAUAUAAACAAAAGAUAUCUAAAAAUUCUCAAAAUAGUAAUCCAGAAGGAACAUCUGAAGGAACACUUGAUGAGGCUGCACCCUUGGCAGAAAGAACACCUGACACGGCUGAAAGCUUGGUGGAAAGAACACCUGAUGAAUAGGAUACAGUGAAUUCCUCUUCAAAGAUUUUAGCCUGUAAAUAUCCUUUAAAAUUCAAGAGGGGGAAGAUUAAGUACAAUGAGUUCUGAGUUCCUCAUCAAAGAACAAAUAUGUCAGUAUGUUCAGCUUCUCUGUUCUUUGUUCUCCGUUUUAAAGUUUAACUUCCUCGUUCGUUAUGCCUCCUUGCCCCUAGUUUCAUUAAACAACCCCCUUCUAGCCUCUAACACCUGCUUUGUCUUUAGUCAUUCUUAGUAACCUGCUCUGUCCUUAGUCAUCCUUAGACACCUGCUCUGUAACUGUCUUUCCCACUGAAACUACUCACCCU
rnacentral:lncRNA from 1 species